GAUGAUCAAUCUGUAAGGUGGUUUGAAAGCCUUUAGUCUAUGCUUUAUUACAAACUCUACAAAGUCAUAGAAUGUCACAUUAGCGUAUAACGCAAUAAAAUACAACUUUCAGCAACGGAUCUCUUGGCUCUCGCAUCGAUGAAAGAACGCAGCGAAAUGCGAUAAGUAAUGUGAAUUGCAGAAUUCAGUGAAUCAUCGAAUCUUUGAACGCACCUUGCGCUCCUUGGUAUUCCGAGGAGCAUGCCUGUUUGAGUGUCAUGGUAUUCUCAACCUUUAAAGCUUUUUUUAAUCAAAAGGCAAUGAAGGCUUGGAAUUGGAGGUUUGUGUUGGCGCAAGUCAACUCCUCUGAAAUGCAUUAGUGUGAACCUUUACGGAUCACUGUCAGUGUGAUAAUUAUCUACACUGUGGUGUUGAAGUAUAUACAUGGUGUUCAUGCUUCUAACUGUCCUUUAUUGGACAUUGAUUUUUGACAAUCUGACCUCAAAUCAGGUAGACUACCCGCUGAACUUAAGCAUAUCAAUAAGCGGAGGAAAAGAAACUAACAAGGAUUCCCCUAGUAACUGCGAGUGAAGCGGGAAAAGCUCAAAUUUAAAAUCUGGAGUCUUUGGCUGCCCGAGUUGUAGUCUGGAGAAGCGUUUUUCCGCGCUGGACCGUGUAUAAGUCUCUUGGACAGAGCGUCAUAGAGGGUGAGAAUCCCGCUUUGACACGGACUACCAGUGCUUUGUGAUGCGCUCUCAAAGAGUCGAGUUGUUUGGGAAUGCAGCUCAAAA
rnacentral:rRNA from 1 species